AGUGAUUGGGAGCACACGGUGAUACAUAUUUUAUUGAAACCAGUGCAAAAACCUGCAAUAUUUUAUCUAAUGAAAAUAUGAAAAAAAAACUCAAAUGCAUCUUUUAACUGCAAUAUUUAUAUUAUCAAAUUAAGCCUAAAACCAAUCCAUCUUAAUUCACCAUCCUAUAUUUUACAGAAAGCACAAAGCUCACAACUCAAACAUAAUUGGUCUACUUUAUAUGAUGUUUUUAUUAUAUAUCAGAAACCUAUUUGAGUUUUA